rnacentral:rRNA from 1 species
CCUACGGGAGGCAGCAGUGGGGAAUAUUGCACAAUGGGGGAAACCCUGAUGCAGCGACGCCGCGUGAGUGAUGAAGUAUUUCGGUACGUAAAGCUCUAUCAGCAGGAACGAUAAUGACGGUACCUGACUAAGAAGCACCGGCUAAAUACGUGCCAGCAGCCGCGGUAAU